rnacentral:rRNA from 1 species
UUGGAGGGCAAGUCUGGUGCCAGCAGCCGCGGUAAUUCCAGCUCCAAUAGCGUAUAUUAAAGUUGUUGCAGUUAAAAAGCUCGUAGUUGAAUUUCGGGGUCAGCAAGUUGGUCGUGCCUACGGUAUGAACUGGUACAAUUGGUUUCUCCCUUCUGACGAAGCAUGAUGUCAUUAAUUUGGUGUCGUGGGGAAUCAGGACUGUUACUUUGAAAAAAUUAGAGUGUUUAAAGCAAGCAUUAUGCUUGAAUACAUUAGCAUGGAAUAAUGAAAUAGGACGACGAUCCUAUUUUGUUGGUUUCUAGGAUUGACGUAAUGAUUAAUAGGGAUAGUUGGGGGCAUUAGUAUUCAAUUGUCAGAGGUGAAAUUCUUGGAUUUAUUGAAGACUAACUACUGCGAAAGCAUUUGCCAAGGAUGUUUUCAUUAAUCAAGAACGAAAGUUAGGGGAUCGAAGACGAUCAGAUACCGUCGUAGUCUUAACCAUAAACUAUGCCGACUAGGGAUCGGAUGAUGUUAUUUUUAAUACUCAUUCGGCGCCUUACGGGAAAC